CAAGUACCCACGAAAAACAGACUGAACCUUGAUUGCAGCAGCCUCUUCAACAGCAGAAGCUCUCGCAGAGGCAACACUCGUUAGCUGGAUUCCUGUACUGAAAAAUAAUCAAAUCGUUAAAAGUCUUAAAGAAAAACAAACGGAUAGAAAUUAAAAAAAGUAGAAAUUUGAGAGUUGAAAAGGAACCUUCAGGGUCGACUCCAUUUCAGUGUUUAAUUUUUCGUCGACUGAUUAGUCAGUUCUGAUGAAGAGAACACAGUCUUUGUAUUCUCUACAUGAUAUCCACAAAGGCAUAGGCAAAAAAGAAGCAGAAAUCUGGCCUUGUGGUCCUUGAUCGUGAGCUUUAGAUCCUCCUCUACAUCGUCGGUCACCGCAAUGGAUCCCAAUUCUUUGUCUCCAUUCUUCCUCAUCGACAGUGGAACGAAAAUCACCUUCAUUUUUUUU
rnacentral:lncRNA from 1 species